rnacentral:rRNA from 1 species
UACGUAGGGGGCAAGCGUUAUCCGGAUUUACUGGGUGUAAAGGGAGCGCAGACGGCUCUGCAAGUCUGAAGUGAAAGCCCGCGGCUUAACCGCGGGACUGCUUUGGAAACUGCAAGGCUUGAGUAUCGGAGGGGCAGGCGGAAUUCCUAGUGUAGCGGUGAAAUGCGUAGAUAUUAGGAAGAACACCGGUGGCGAAGGCAGCCUGCUGGACGAAAACUGACGUUGAGGCUCGAAGGCGUGGGGAGCAAACAGG